rnacentral:lncRNA from 1 species
AUGCUCAGUGCUACAGUAUAUCUUGUUUAAUUUUGCUUUGGCACAAUUGCCCCCAAUAUUCCCAUCGCUUCCUCCCCAAUUUUUGAAGACAACCACCGCCUGCCAAAUACCACCACCUGCCCUCGCCGAUCUCGUUCACCACCACCCUCAAUUCUCUGCAAUAUUUCAUCACCACCGCCAGCCCUCUACCGAUUUCGUUCACCACCACCCC